GGGCAGAUCUUGGUCUCUGUGAAUCCUUUCAAACCCCUCAAUCUCUACUCAGAAGAAGUGAUGGCUCAGUACCAGCAGGAGAUGCUCUCCAAAAAUGCUCCGCACAUCUUUGCCAUUGCAGAAAUGGCUUAUACACUGGCUCAGACAGCAGAGAAAGAGCAGUGCAUCGUCAUCAGUGGGCACAGUGGAUCAGGUAAAACGGAAGCUGCCAAAGCCAUCGUGCAGUACCUAACCAUGAUGUACCAAAGACAAGAUGGCCAUAGACUC